rnacentral:rRNA from 1 species
GUGGGGAAUUUUGCGCAAUGGGGGAAACCCUGACGCAGCAACGCCGCGUGAGUGAUGAAGGCCUUCGGGUUGUAAAGCUCUUUUGGUGGGGAAGAAACGCCCCGAGGUGAAUAAUCUCGGGGUUUGACGGUACCCACAGAAAAAGUUCCGGCUAACUACGUGCCAGCAGCCGCGGUAAUACGUAGGGAGCUAGCGUUGUUCGGAAUUACUGGGCGUAAAGAGCGCGUAGGCGGUCUGGUAAGUCCGUCGUGAAAUCCCAGAGCUUAACUCUGGAACUGCGGCGGAAACUGCCAGGCUUGAGUGCGGGAGAGGAGAGUGGAAUUCCCAGUGUAGAGGUGAAAUUCGUAGAUAUUGGGAGGAACACCGGUGGCGAAGGCGGCUCUCUGGACCGCAACUGACGCUGAGGCGCGAAAGCUAGGGGAGCAAACGGGAUUAGAAACCCGGGUAGUCC